GACGAACCGUGCGAACGUUAUUCGGAUUCACUGGGCUUAAAGCGCGUGUAGGCGGCCCGACACGUCCGUCGCUGAAAUCCCCCGGCUCAACCGGGGAACGGGCGCGGAUACGAUUGGGCUGGAGGCCGGUAGGGGGAGUCGGAACUUCCGGUGGAGCGGUGAAAUGCGUUGAGAUCGGAAGGAACGCCCGUGGCGAAAGCGGACUCCUGGACCGGACCUGACGCUGAGACGCGAAAGCUAGGGGAGCAAACGGG
rnacentral:rRNA from 1 species